rnacentral:sRNA from 1 species
GCCGGGCAUGGUGGCACAUGCCUGUAAUCCCAGCAACUAGGGAGACUGAGGCAGGAGGCUUGAAAGUUUGAGGCUAGCCUCAGCAACUUAGCAAGACCCUGCCUCAA